rnacentral:rRNA from 1 species
AUCCCGGUGCAAGCGAGGUAGGAGUGCUGUUGGCAAAUCCGCAGCACGAUCUGAAGACGUGAUGCGUACCGAACAUAAGUAGGGAAGUCCAGGCCCCUGGCUGUCAAGAAAAGCCGCUAUUGUUUUAUAUGUGCCCGUACCGCAAACCGACACAGGUGGAUGAGGAGAGAAUCCUAAGGCCGACGGGAGAAGUAUUGUUAAGGAACUCGGCAAAAUGACUCCGUAACUUCGGGAGAAGGAGUGCCAUGAGAGUGGCCGCAGAGAAAUGGCCCAAGCAACUGUUUAGCAAAAACACAGGUCUAUGCAAAACCGCAAGGUGAAGUAUAUGGGCUGACGCCUGCCCGGUGCUGGAAGGUUAAGGGGAGAGGUUAGCGCAAGCGAAGCUUUGAACUUAAGCCCCAGUAAACGGCGGCCGUAACUAUAACGGUCCUAAGGUAGCGAAAUUCCUUGUCGGGUAAGUUCCGACCCGCACGAAAGGCGUAAUGAUUUGGGCACUGUCUCAACGAUACACCCGGUGAAAUUGAAAUACCAGUGAAGAUGCUGGUUACCUGCGCCAGGACGGAAAGACCCCAUGGAGCUUUACUCCAGUUUGAUACUGGGAUUCGGCAUGGUAUGUACAGGAUAGGUGGGAGACUGAGAAGGUAUGACGUCAGUUGUACCGGAGUCGCUGUUGGGAUACCACCCUUACCAUGUUGGAUUUCUAACCUGUGGCCGUAAGCCGGUCAGGGGACAAUGUCAGGCGGGGAGUUUGACUGGGGCGGUCGCCUCCGAAAGGGUAUCGGAGGCGCUCAAAGGUUCCCUCAGAAUGGUUGGAAACCAUUCGAAGAGUGCAAAGGCAGAAGGGAGCUUGACUGUGACACCGACGGGUGGAGCAGGUACGAAAGUAGGACUUAGUGAUCCGGUGGUAUAAAGUGGGAUUGCCAUCGCUCAACGGAUAAAAGCUACCCUGGGGAUAACAGGCUUAUCACUCCCAAGAGUUCACAUCGACGGAGUGGUUUGGCACCUCGAUGUCGGCUCAUCGCAUCCUGGAGCUGUAGCAGGUUCCAAGGGUUGGGCUGUUCGCCCAUUAAAGCGGUACGCGAGCUGGGUUCAGAACGUCGUGAGACAGUUCGGUCCCUAUCCGGCGCAGGCGGAGGAAAUUUGAUAGGAGCUGUCCUUAGUACGAGAGGACCGGGAUGGACGGACCGCUGGUGUAUCUGUUGUACUGCCAAGUGCAUAGCAGAGUAGCCAAGUCUGGAAGGGAUAAACGCUGAAGGCAUCUAAGCGUGAAGCCCCCCUAAAGAUAAGAUUUCCCAUACCGAAAGGUAGUAAGACCCCUUGAAGACGACGAGGUAGAUAGGGCAGAGGUGGAAGUACGGUAACGUAUGGAGCUGACUGUUACUAAUCGGUCGAGGCUUUAACCAAA